CUCGGCCGUGUUUGUUGUGUUGGCUCCUGGUGGACUAUUCAUCAUGCAAAUAUAGGAUUUAUAUGCGGUUAAAACAGACCGUCCAUGAAUGCAGUUUCUUCGUGUCCUUAAGGUGAUCCAGACAGGCUGGACAGGAGGAGGAGAGACAGAUCUGGACUCCUAACAGCAGAGAACUUCAGCACGGAUUCCAAGGAAAGGACAUGCCUGAGAGACAGGACUGCUUCACCAUUUUCUCUUUCUCUGAGGGUCCAGAAGAACAUCCAAGAGGGAAAGGAAAAGCUGAUGUUAUGAGAUUUAAGAGCAGUACAGGACAUUCACUAAGAGACACUUAUAUUGUAACACAAAGACCUGCACACUGAAUAGUUUUGUAGUCUAACAGGAACUUAAUUUUUGUGUUGUUUUGUGUUUUACCUCAGAGACAGUGUGAUUAUUGUCAGGCCUAUAAAGUUUGGCAAAAGAAAAAGUCAGCUGAUCAAAUGCAUUUGCCUCACUUUAUGAGCUUCACAAUACUUGAGCCUUGUACCGCAGAGUUUGCAACGUCACAAAUGAAUGGUGCCAAUCUUCAGUCAGAUGUGAAUGUGUAAUUUAACAUUUUCAGCAAGAAUAACGGACAAAAGGAGUACAAAUACAAUUUAUUGAAAUGUGAACUAAAAGUUAUCAAGCAUGAACCAUCACAAUGUUUUAAAAAUAAAAACAAAGUAAUAUA